ACCUGCAUCGAAAGUGAUUGUGGUUUGAUCAGUGGCCCAGUCAUUGAUACUGCAGGGAGAGCAUAAUGUGAGACAUUCCCGUGUUUGGAUGUCACUUGUACAUCUCAAACCCUGUAUCUUUCAAACA